GACGUAGGGCGCGAGCGUUGUCCGGAAUUAUUGGGCGUAAAGAGCUCGUAGGCGGUUUGUCGCGUCGAAUGUGAAAACCCGGGGCUCAACCCCGGGCCUGCAUUCGAUACGGGCAGACUAGAGUUCGGUAGGGGAGACUGGAAUUCCUGGUGUAGCGGUGAAAUGCGCAGAUAUCAGGAGGAACACCGGUGGCGAAGGCGGGUCUCUGGGCCGAUACUGACGCUGAGGAGCGAAAGCGUGGGGAGCGAACAGG
rnacentral:rRNA from 1 species